UACGUAGGGGGCAAGCGUUGUCCGGAUUUAUUGGGCGUAAAGAGCGUGUAGGCGGCCAUGUAGGUCCGUUGUGAAAACUCGAGGCUCAACCUCGAGACGCCGAUGGAAACCAUGUGGCUAGAGUCCGGAAGAGGAGAGUGGAAUUCCUGGUGUAGCGGUGAAAUGCGCAGAUAUCAGGAAGAACACCCGUGGCGAAAGCGGCUCACUGGACCACAACUGACGCUGAGGCGCGAAAGCUAGGGGAGCAAACAGA
rnacentral:rRNA from 1 species